CGAAACCUGCCCAGCAGAACGACCCGUGAACACGUGAAGCCCUGGUUCAGGGAGGCGGGGUUAGGGGCCUUCAGGUCCUUGCCCCUCCGCCCGCUGGCUGCGUACGCGCCCUGUGCGCUCUCGGCCAAACAACGAACCCCCGGCGCAAACCGCGCCAAGGAAUACGAAACGGAAUGAGCGCCUCGCGUUCCGAUCUUUGAA
rnacentral:rRNA from 1 species